GCUUUAUUAUACUUUUACAAAAGUUGUAAGUUGAUUGGCUACUGUGUCGUCUUUUGCCGCGCGGCAAGCAUUUCAACGUUCCAUAUACUACUGUGAUCAAAUUGAAAGGUGACUGUUUCAUUUAAACUCCGCGGGUUUAUCCAAUCCGUAAAAUAUUUUUUCUGUAAGUUGGUAGUACUGUUACUGACAUCUGUGCCAAAUGUCAGGUAUAUAGCUGCGUUAGUUGCUAGGUUACGCUUGGUUUUGUAAACAGUAAAAAGUUAUUCCGGCGAUUUUUACAAUGUCAAUUUUUACAUUGUUCGAGACUAUUUCGCCAAAAAUUCAACGAAGAUCGUUCCACAACCGCCGUAUUCACCUGAUCUAGCACCGUGUGACUUCUGGCUGUUCAACUCAAAAGGCCACUUCGGGGAAACCGUUUUGACUUGAUUGAAAAGAUAAAAACCGAAUCGCAGAAGGAGCUGAAGGCCAUAAAGAAGGAAGAAUUUGCGAAGUGCUUCGAGGACUGGAAACUUCGUUGGCAUAAGUGCAUUGGAGCCGAUGGGGAUUAUUUUGAAGGGGACGAAAUGGAUUUUCAAGAAUAAAUAAAGAGGGGGGCCAAAACUAAUGUAACGAACGAUUGUCGAUGACCUGAGAGUUGACAAAAGACCACAGUUACUGAUUGUACAUCUCAAGAAAUAAAGUUACAAUUUUAUAUAACUCCACACGAUGAACUCCAUAGACCAGCGCUUAAUCGAUGCAAUCGAGAAAUGUGAACAUUUAUACAAUAAAAACAAUCCUGAUUAUGCGGAUAAGGUAAAAAAGCAAAAUUCAUGGUGCAGUAUUGCACAAAUGGUGAAUGCAACAGCUGCUGAUUGCGAAUACAGAUGGGGCCAAUUGCGAGAACGUUUCAUUCGUGAAAGACAGAAAUUAAAAACAGGACUUCCUUCCGGCUCAGGUUCCUCAAAACAACUCCUAGUGAUCUGUAUAAAGCUCUGCAAUUCUUAGAACCUUAUAUUCAAAGUAGAAGGACACGAAGAAAUAUUUUGAAAAGAAGUUUGUCAACAUCUGAAAAUUUUGCUACAUGGGAAACGCUGGAAACUGCCGAUGUAGAUGUACUCGAAUAUCUGAAAAGUGUCGAAAACAAAAGCAAACUUGAAAUGCAAGGGAAAAAUGAGUUCCAGAAAUCAGAAGGCGAUUUAUCGAAUAUUAUAAGCAUAGAACCGUCAGAUGAAAAUAAUACCAAUUUACUGAAUGUUGAGACUUCAGUUCUUAGUAAAACAUAUACAAACGUUGAAAAAAACAAAAGAAGAAAAACAUUGUAAGUGCCGAAGUUGAUUCAUUACAAAUUGUUUCUGAAGCAUUACAGAGUGUAAAAAGACUGUGCGAAUCUACUGACAAAAGUGAUGAUAUUGCCCAUGGUGUAAAGACACAAGGUGAAGCAAUCUGGUGGAUGCGCAGUGUCAACCAAUCAGAAGUGACCGAAACUGCCGAGUCGUCAAAAUGCCGAUUUGCUUCG